rnacentral:lncRNA from 1 species
UUGAAAGAAUUCAUCAAGGAACAACUAAUUGCUAUUCCAAUGGGAUCUCGAGCUCUAGUUCCAGCAGCAGCACAACCACCACCACCUGUAGCUCAACCGCCUAGCCCAGCGGCUUUAGCUGAUGAUCCAGGAGCUAUGCUUGCUGGUUUACUAUAAGUUCAUUGGGUAAGAGAAUACUUGUUGCGAAUGUCAGAGUGCAAGUUUUUUUUUCGUGUUAUCGUGAGUUCAGGUGGUUUGUAUCAAAAGCUUAUUCUUGUUCCUAAACAUUUUUUCAAUCUGUUUCUCCGUGAUGAUUUUUUUGAUGUCGUUGAAACUUAAUGUAUAGAGAAACAGAAGUUCACAGUCGUUUUAACUUAAUUUUUAAGUUUGGUAUUUUACACCUAAAAAUGAUUUGCAACAUUUAGUAGAUUUCAAUUGACAAGUAAUCUUCUAGUGUUCAGUAAAUAUUGGCAUAAUCUUCUAGUGUUCAGUAAAUGUUUACUUAAUGUUGCUGAAGAUGGGCAAUCACUAGACUCGUACUGUUACUGAAAUUAUAAUAUGUACCACAGUCUAGAUACUUGCUAUAUAGUAUUAAAUCGACCACUACGUUUUACAAAGAUGUCCCAAACAUUAUAAUAUGUUUGGAAGUAUUCAGUGGAUGUUCAGACCCUCCUUUGAAGAACAAGUGAGAGAGUGAGAGCAAUAAAAAUGAGCUUAUUUUAUACCAAUGCAAGGAGAAGUACUUAAUUUCAUGUGAGUUUAAUUUACUAUUUGUGACAAACACAUAUUUAGCUCAACUCGAGAUGUUAUUUACCUGAAACUGUAUAAAACUUUUCUCAAGUCUGAUGCCUGAAUUCUGACAUGAAACUUGUCCCAGUCUGUGUAAAAGGGUAUCAGAGAUUAUAACUGAAUGAGUUUUGUUCUUUUCAAGAGAUGAUGGACACUUGUCACAGUCCUGAGGAAUGUGCAGAGAGGUUUCCAAGUGUAUCUUAAGCCUAUAUGGUUUUUGUUGUUUUCUUAUUGUAGAGAGCUCUUUGUGAUUGGAGUUCAGAUUAUUAUUUGUAACUCGAUAUGGUAAUAGUCUAGUCAGGCUUGAAUUAUAUUCAAUUUGUAAAAAAAGUUAUACAUAUUUACUGUUUUACAUCAUAUUUGUACUCUAUGAGAAUCUGUGUACUGAUGUACCAAAGUUUGUAUGUAUUUUGUAAUUCUCGUAGCUAAAUGACAAACGGAUCGAUUUGAAAUCGUAUAACAUGCCAAUCAAUGUACUUUUUACUUAUAUGAUAUAAGAGUUCUCCAAAAAAAAAAACAUGUGAUAUUAUAUAAGUUAUAUCCAUAACCGACGCAAAAUAGAUACGAUGCAGACGUGCAGUACUGCUAAACUCUCUUCGUCUAUGGUUUAGGGAUCGUCAACUUUCCCUCAAGUUAGGUAUCAACGUGUGUGAAUUUUCUUAUAACGAAGAAUUUCUAAGACCUUAUGUACGCUGAUAGUUGAGUCACAACUCGUUUAUAAUCAUCAACCACUAGUCAACUAAGCCAAUAUGUUUUCUACGUGGCCUACUCACAGAAAUAUUAUGCAUAUAUGAGAGUUCUUUUUUUUCUGUAAACAAGGAGAGGUUAUUAUUAUUGUACCGCUACUUUGUAAAAAUAAAUUUUUCUAUGACUUGAGUAAAUCAAUAGAUUCUUAUUUAUCGUUAAACAAUUUAAAAAAAAAUCCAAGUGCAUGGAUAAAACAUCAAAAAAUUAGUGUAUAUCAGCUUUAAACGGAAGAAGGAUAUCAUGAACAUUCUAGAUAUAUAUGAGAAGGCAUCUGGACAACGACUAAAUGUAUCCAAAUCAUCAAUGUUAUUUGGAAACUGAGUAGAGGGUUUCCGAAAGCAAGAUAUAAAAGAUGUCUUAGGUUUCUUUUCAGAAGACGGCAUGGAGAUGUAUCUUAGAUUACCAGAACAAUUCGGUGGCUCAAAGAUAAAAGUGUUCUCCUUUGUACAAAAUAGGUUCAAUGGACAAGUCAACACUUGGUCAUCGAAACUCUAAAGGAAGAAAAGAAGUUCAAGUCAAAUUUGUGGCUCAAGCAGUUCUGACAUUUGUGAUGUCGUAUUACUUGCUUCCACAAGGUAUUACCCGAUAAACUAAAGAGCACAAAGUCUAAUUUUUGGUGGAACUUAAAACAGAACAGCAGAGGUAUACAUUACAUAGCAUGAGACGAGAUUUGUACCCCCAAAGAUUCGGGAGAACUAGAGUUUUGAGAUCUUCAUGACUUCAAUAUCGCGCUUCUUGCAAAAUAAUUGUAGAGACUAAUUCAUUAUCCGAACUCCUUAUUAGCAAGAGUUUUAAAAGGAUGGUACUAUAAUCACACUUCUCCCUUAGAAGAUCGGCGUACAUACUCAUCUUCAUAUGGAUGGAGUAGUAUCAUGGCAGCAAAACCUCUACUCAUAUCGGGUUUACAAAAAACAAGUGGUACAUGUCAAGAUACGAGGGUUUGGAGUGAGUCUUGGGUUCCAGAUGUAUUGGCUCGACCCCCUAGACCCGCUGACCACAUUGUAUACAUGCUACCCCAACUUUUUGUUCAGUCCUUCAUUAGGAAUGAUACCAAGGAGUGGGAUAUACAACUUCUACGGGAUUUCUUAAUAUCCCUUUGAUACUUGGGCUGAAACCUUCUCGCUCUUGUGCUCCAGAUGGAUAUAUUUUAAACCAUACAAAAUCAAGAGUUUAUUCAGUUAAAACCGGCUAUGACCUACUUCGAUCGACCAAGUUGAGUCUUUCACAGAAAGGGGCUGUAGAACCAAGUUUCACGAGCCUUCAGAGCCAUGUGUGGGAGAUAAAGACCCCGAGUAAGAUGAAACAUUUUUUGUGUAGGCUAUCUCGGGCUGUGUGGCUCAUGUAUAGACACUUGGGGACCGAUAGGAGUUGUCUUAGAUGUGCUGGUCCAGCGGAGUCGGUUAAUCAUCUUCUUUUUGAAUGCUCACCAGCUCUUCAGGUUUGGGCUUUAUCGGACUAUACGUCCCUUUUGGUUACUUCCCGAGUAGAUCCAUAUAUCAAAACAUGAACUUCAUGUUUUGGAAGAGAAAAAAAGUGGCUCUUCUGAGACCACAUUUCAAUACCUUCCCAUGGGUUUAUUGGUACAUUUGGAAGGCGAUGAACGACAAAUUCUUUAAUGGGAAAGACGUAUCCCUCAUUGACACCCUCCAACAUGCGUCUUUUGAGGCAAAAUCUUGGAGGAAGGCUAACAAAAAGAAGGAAGCAAAUGAAGAUCAUGACGAUCUCCAUACUAGAGAGGUUGAGACAGCGUCCCUUUGGAUAUCCCAAAUUCCUACUUGUCAAAUUGAUGCAUCAUGCAUCAAUAAUGACAGUAUAAAUGGCUUAAGGUGGAGUCUUAAGGAUCAAAUGGGCUUAUAAUACUUCGAAUUACGGGCGUGUAACAGAAACCUCUCAGUUUUGCAUGCUGAGAUGGAAUGGUUACUUUGGGCAACCUCAUGUAUAAGAGAUAGAAGGAUUACUUCGGUACGGUUUGAGACGGACUGUUCGGACUUAGUGGAUAUGACUAUAAAUCUGAUGGACUGGCCAGCAUUCGCGACAAAGAUCGAGGUGUUCUAAAAGUUACAUGAUAACUUCGAAGAUGUGAAACUGUCUCAUAUUCCUCAAAAUUGGAAUGUUCGGACAUACAUGUUAGCAAAAGAUGCAAAGACUAGAGGUUAUACUUUUUCAUAUAGAUCAGUUCCAGACAUAUGAAAAUGCUUUUCGAAAGAUCGGUUUGUCUUUUCUCUAUUUGAUUUAGUCUAGAUAGGUAGCCGGUAAAAAAAAACAGAGGAAGGAAAAGGAAAGGCGUAUGGUGAUAAAUUGGCUCAGAUAUUCAAAGGUAUUCUAUUAUAGUCCUAAUGAAAACAAAAGAAGAAGAAAUUCUUCCUUUGCUUUUUUUUUUUUUUGAACAACCCUUUGCUUUCUUUGGAAUGGUAGUUUUGAACAUGGAUUAAAUUAUACUUCUAAUAUUUUUAGCUCAUUGAUUCCCUAGGUUUUUAACUAUUGGCUAUUUUUCUCUGUUUUCUCUUUUUGAAUUUAUUAUUUGGAAAAGGUAAAACGUUUACCUUGAAUGGAAAUCCUACCUGAGAUGUUCUGUUCAUACCCUCUGCAGAGUUUCUUGAUUUUGUUCGACGUAAUAAUGCUACAGCCGCGAAACCUGAUGAACUUGUUGCAUUGACAUUGUAUACAGUAUAUAUUAACUAUUAUUUGCAUGCUUGGAUUGUUUUCUUAUUCAGUUUUGUUUUCUGUAACAGGUCAUAGGAAAUAUUGCUGAGAGAUUUCAUGCUUUAUGUUUGAAAGACAGUGGUGUCUUAUACGAGGAUCCUUAUAUCCAGGUUUGAUUUUUACGCGAAUAAUGGUUGCAGAGAAUGAGCUUUUCUAUUUCUUAUGUUCCUCAUUUUGUUGAGUGUUGGUAUCACUCAGAUCGGCAUCAAAGCUGAAUGGAGAGGACACCAUGGGAGACUUGUCCUCUUCUUGGGAAACAAGAGCACUAAUCCACUUACAUCAGUCCAAGCUCUAAUACUACCCCCUGCCCAUUUAAAAUUGGAACUGUCUCCAGUACCUGAUACAAUUCCUCCUCGAGCACAGGUACUUCAUUCUGUUGAUUUUGUCAAUUUUACUACUCAAUCACACACUCUCCUCUUUUCUGUAACCUUAUGUUUACUUAGUGUUCCAAUUUCUGUCGUGGUUAUAGGUACAAUCUCCACUUGAAGUGAUGAACAUCCGCCCUAGCAGAGAUGUCGCGGUUUUGGAUUUCUCGUACAAGCUUGGUACAAUCGUGGUACUUACCGCAACCCUCCUUUACUUGUUUUGGUGAAUGGUUUCUUUAGUAUCUGUGACUCUCUGCCUGACAAGCUGGAUCUUUUAUAGGUUGGUGCCAAACUCCGGAUCCCAGCAGUCUUGAAUAAGUUUCUUCAACCUCUACAAUUGACAUCUGAAGAGUUCUUCCCGCAAUGGAGAGCACUUUCAGGACCACCCUUGAAACUUCAGGAAGUUGUAUGUAUUUCAGCUUCUCUGACAUAAUAUCGAAUAAAAGUAUGAGUAGUGUAUAGCGUUGGAUAUCCACAUGGCUGGCUGUUCAUGUUACUCAAAGUUGUUAAAGAUAACUUCUGGGAUUACUACAUAUGCUUAGGAUAGUAUUAAUGUGGUGUCACACUGUUAAUCAUAAUCGGAUACUGCAAUUUCUUGCAGGUAAGAGGUGUAAGACCUCUAGCUCUUCCGGAAAUGGCGAACCUGUUCAACAGUUUCCGGGUGACAAUAUGCCCUGGGCUUGUAAGUCUUUGUUUACGAUCUGAGUCCCUCCUUAUGCUUUGUUGCACACAUGCAUUCUAUAAAUUAAACUUUUACGCUUUUCUGUUGUAGGAUCCGAACCCUAAUAAUCUAGUGGCAAGCACAACCUUCUACUCUGAAACUACAGGAGCCAUGCUCUGUUUGGUGAGAUUUCAACCAACUUUUGUCUUAGUGGUUUUGGCACUUGCCACUUUUUCCAGGUCCUUAAUUUCUUCUACUUAUCCCACGUUGUCCGUGUUUUUUUAUGUUUUUUUUUUCAGGCAAGAAUUGAAACAGACCCAGCAGACAGAACCCAACUGCGAAUGACAGUAGGCUCAGGAGAUCCUACCCUUACAUUCGAGUAUGACAACUCUGCCUCUUUUCACGAACUCAACCUCUCAAACACAGCUACUUACGCUUGACCUCUUUUGCCUUGCCUACAGGUUGAAAGAAUUCAUCAAGGAACAACUAAUUGCUAUUCCAAUGGGAUCUCGAGCUCUAGUUCCAGCAGCAGCACAACCACCACCACCUGUAGCUCAACCGCCUAGCCCAGCGGCUUUAGCUGAUGAUCCAGGAGCUAUGCUUGCUGGUUUACUAUAAGUUCAUUGGGUAAGAGAAUACUUGUUGCAAAUGUCAGAGUGCAAGUUUUUUUUCGUGUUAUCGUGAGUUCAGGUGGUU